UACGUAGGGUGCAAGCGUUAAUCGGAAUUACUGGGCGUAAAGCGUGCGCAGGCGGUGCUGUAAGACAGGUGUGAAAUCCCCGGGCUUAACCUGGGAACUGCAUUUGUGACUGCAUCGCUGGAGUGCGGCAGAGGGGGAUGGAAUUCCGCGUGUAGCAGUGAAAUGCGUAGAUAUGCGGAGGAACACCGAUGGCGAAGGCAAUCCCCUGGGCCUGCACUGACGCUCAUGCACGAAAGUGUGGGGAGCAAACAGG
rnacentral:rRNA from 1 species